rnacentral:rRNA from 1 species
AACGAACGCUGGCGGCAGGCUUAACACAUGCAAGUCGAGCGCAUCCUUCGGGGUGAGCGGCAGACGGGUGAGUAACACGUGGGAAUCUACCCAACCCUACGGAAUAGCUCCGGGAAACUGGAAUUAAUACCGUAUACGCCCUUAGGGGGAAAGAUUUAUCGGGGAUGGAUGAGCCCGCGUUGGAUUAGCUAGUUGGUGGGGUAAAGGCCUACCAAGGCGACGAUCCAUAGCUGGUCUGAGAGGAUGAUCAGCCACAUUGGGACUGAGACACGGCCCAAACUCCUACGGGAGGCAGCAGUGGGGAAUAUUGGACAAUGGGCGCAAGCCUGAUCCAGCCAUGCCGCGUGAGUGAUGAAGGCCUUAGGGUUGUAAAGCUCUUUCACCGGAGAAGAUAAUGACGGUAUCCGGAGAAGAAGCCCCGGCUAACUUCGUGCCAGCCGCCGCCGUAA